rnacentral:tRNA from 1 species
GCCCCGAUAGUUAAACGGUAUAACUGGUGAUUUGUAAUCACCUGUUGGGGGUUCGAUUCCCUCUCGGGGCUCCA